UACGUAGGGGGCGAGCGUUGUCCGAAUUCACUGGGCGUAAAGCGCGCGUAGGCGGGUUUUUAAGUUGUGGGUGAAAUUCCGAGGCUCAACCUCGUAACUGCCUGCAAAACUGGGAGCCUUGAGGUAUGGAGAGGGAAGUGGAAUUCCUGGUGUAGCGGUGAAAUGCGUAGAUAUCAGGAGGAACACCCGUGGCGAAGGCGGCUUCCUGGCCAUAUCCUGACGCUGAGGUGCGAAAGCUAGGGUAGCGAACGGGAUUAGAUACCCCGGUAGUCCUAGCCGUAAACGAUGGAUACUAGGUGUUAGAGGUAUCGACCCCUCUAGUGCCGCAGCUAACGCAUUAAGUAUCCCGCCUGGGGAGUACGACCGCAAGGUUGAA
rnacentral:rRNA from 1 species